rnacentral:rRNA from 1 species
UACGUAGGGUGCGAGCGUUAAUCGGAAUUACUGGGCGUAAAGCGUGCGCAGGCGGCGCUGCAAGUCGAGUGUGAAAUCCCCGAGCUUAACUUGGGAAUUGCGCUCGAAACUACGGUGCUGGAGUGUGGCAGAGGGAGGUGGAAUUCCACGUGUGGCGGUGAAAUGCGUAGAGAUGUGGAGGAACACCGAUGGCGAAGGCAGCCUCCUGGGCCAACACUGACGCUCAUGCACGAAAGCGUGGGGAGCAAACAGG